UCUCCGUUGGUGAACCAGCGGAGGGAUCAUUACAGGACUCGCAAGACUCCUUCACCCUGUGAACCUCACUACAGGCACGUUGCUUCGGCGGGUGUCCCGGCGGGGGUUUUCCCUCGCCGGGGCGCACAGCCCGCCGGCAGCCUACUAUACUCUGUCUCUUUGCGUUGGCAUCUCGAGAAAAAACAAACAAGUUAAAACUUUCAACAACGGAUCUCUUGGUUCUG
rnacentral:misc_RNA from 1 species